rnacentral:misc_RNA from 1 species
GAUUGAAGAACGUAGCGAAAUGCGAUACUUGGUGUGAAUUGCAGAAUCCCGUGAACCAUCGAGUCUUUGAACGCAAGUUGCGCCCGAAGCCAUUAGGCCGAGGGCACGCCUGCCUGGGCGUCACACGUCGUUGCCCCCCCAUCUACUCCUUCGGGAUUGCGGGGGGCGGAUGAUGGCCUCCCGUGCGCCUCGCCGCGCGGUUGGCAUAAAUGCCAAGUCCUCGGCGACGCACGCCACGACAAUCGGUGGUUGCGAAACCUCGGUUGCCCGUCGUGUGCGGUCGUCGCGCAUCGAGGGCUCGAAAAAAUUGCCGGGUUCCGGCUCGGCUUUCAACGCGACCCCAGGUCAGGCGGGGUUACCCGCUGAAUUUAAGCAUAUCAAUAAGCGGAGGA